ACAAUUAAUUUAUCACAGCCAAUUAUAGAUUUCUUUGUUUCUGUCUCCACUUUCAUUG
rnacentral:scRNA from 1 species